rnacentral:rRNA from 1 species
UACGUAGGGUGCGAGCGUUGUCCGGAAUUAUUGGGCGUAAAGAGCUCGUAGGCGGUGUGUCACGUCGGCCGUGAAAACCUGCAGCUUAACUGUGGGCGUGCGGUCGAUACGGGCAUCACUGGAGUUCGGCAGGGGAGACUGGAAUUCCUGGUGUAGCGGUGAAAUGCGCAGAUAUCAGGAGGAACACCGGUGGCGAAGGCGGCCACCUGGUUGGAUACUGACGCUGAGACGCGAAAGCGUGGGGAGCAAACAGG